rnacentral:rRNA from 1 species
AUACGGAAGGUCCGGGCGUUAUCCGGAUUUAUUGGGUUUAAAGGGAGCGCAGGCGGAGAUGCAAGCGUGACGUCAAAUUUCGGGGCUCAACCCCGUCUCGCGUCGCGAACUGCGUCCCUUGGUUGCGGGAAGGGGAGGCGGAACUCGUGGUGUAGCGGUGAAAAGCAUAGAUAUCACGAAGGACUCCGAUCGCGAAGGUAGCCUACCGUCCCGUCAACGACGCUCAUGCUCGAAGGUGCGGGUAUCAAACAGGAUUAGAAACCCUGGUAGUCGGCACAGUAAACGAUGGACACCCGCGGUUUGGCCUGUAUGGCGGAGCCGCCAAGCGAAAGCGUUAAGUGUCCCACCUGGGGAGUACGCCGGCAACGGUGAAACUCAAAUGAAGUGGCGGGG